GCGCCUAUAGCUCAGAUGGAUAGAGCACAGGUUUCCUAAACCUGGUGCCGGUGGUUCGAGUCCACCUAGGCGCGCCA
rnacentral:tRNA from 1 species